GUGUUCGUGAAAAGAAGAGAUGGUUGGCAUCUCCCCUGACAGAGACGGGAACAGCCUUCGGGCUUUCCUGUUACACACUUGUUGCUAUUGCUGAGUGUAAUUUAAGAUCUUUUUAU
rfam:Lupinus angustifolius cultivar Tanjil chromosome LG11, whole genome shotgun sequence.